rnacentral:lncRNA from 1 species
GCCGAAAACUGAGAAGUUAUCAACAAAUUAUAAGUUUACGGGUACCAUGAGGAUUGUUCAUGCAUUUAAACGAAAGAAGUACAAGCGAACAGAUGACACAUUAAAGUUGCUGCAGAAGCUUGAAAAGUUAGAUAGAGCAGGGGCAGUCAAAACAAUGGGAUAAUACUUCUAUGUAAUUUCAUUUUAAAGGCAAUUCAUACAGGAUGGAAGGUGUAAAAUGUUCUGUGGAUUCAUAUGAUGAGAAUGCCAGUGUUGAUCUGUAUGACUUAAUUAAACACAGAUAUUGAUACCUUCAGAUAUAUACCUGUGAAAUCUUCGGUGUCACCGUUCAGCUAUUGUUCAAGAUCAGUGUCUGCAGCUUGCACAGUUUAGUAUAGAGGAGCCUUCUGAAUCAACUUUGUUACAUAUUUGCUGUUAUUGUAGGACACGCAUGUAGAGAGCAGCAAGUCCUGUCCAGCCGUGCAUGUAAAUGUGAUUCAGAAACUUUGAGAAUAUGUAAACAUUACACUGUUAUAAUUUUCAAAAUACUGUGUCUUGUAGUGUAUCAGUACUGUUUUGUCUCAGUUUAUAGCACAGUAUGUUCACAAAUCAAACAUAAGACCAUAGUGAUCAGUAUUAUUAAAAUAUUUAAUUAUUUGUAUGGUGACAAAAUUUAAUUUCAUGCAAUACCACAGUAAAACGUUUGAUAAUUUUCGCUUUUAAAGUUGUAAGUUUAAGGUUGGCAUAAAUUGUUUUUUCUUCUUUCAUAAAUCUAAAAAGUGAUUAGUCAUUAUAACUGCAAUAUUAUUUUAGUAUGACAAAGUUUAUAUUGAACUAAAACACUAAUGUAAAUUUUUGAACUAAUCAAUGCAUUUUCUUCAGUCUUAAAACAUUUGUUUAUCGUACGUGUCAUGGCCCAUAACUCCUCCAUAUUACUUGUGUUUUGUCCUUUUUCAUUUCACUGAAGAAUAGGUAAAGGUACUGCACAUCCAUUUUUAGCAUCCUGAUUUUGUAAAGUGUUGUUUGUAAGGUUUUAUCUCGGAAUUAUGUCUCAUCUAAAGGUGGGGAGAGGUAUUAAUUAUGCCUUCUCGUCUAUCCGCAUUAAGCCUGUCUGGCUUUAAGAAGACAAGCUGCUGGCCAGAUUUUGAUGAAACUUCACAGGACUGAUCAGUACCAAGCAUAGUGUUGUGCAUAUCGCUUGCAUGUUUCGUUUUGAUGCACUAAAUUGCAGCCAUAGCUAAAAAUAGAAAAAUCUU